rnacentral:rRNA from 1 species
UACGGGGGGGGCAAGCGUUGUUCGGAAUUACUGGGCGUAAAGGGCGCGUAGGCGGCCUGCUAAGUCGGACGUGAAAUCCCUCGGCCCAACCGGGGAACUGCGUCCGAUACUGGCGAGGCUUGAAUCCGGGAGAGGGAUGCGGAAUUCCAGGUGUAGCGGUGAAAUGCGUAGAUAUCUGGAGGAACACCGAUGGCGAAGGCAGGUCUCUGGGCUGACACUGACGCUCAUGCACGAAAGCGUGGGGAGCAAACAGG